CAUCCAACACGCCAAACAGGUUAGGGGAGGAAGAGAGCUCCCUAACCCUCACUCAAACUUUAACUCUCAAUAACUUUUGAUCCGGAGCUCCGAUUGACGAACCGUUUACGACUACACGUUCACCGCGACGAGCUCUACGAAACCCAUGGAACAAUUUGGUUCAAGUUAGCUUCCGGGAUUUAUGGGUUCAAGCUAUUGAGCAUAUGGGUAUGGUGUAGAUUAAGUGGGUAUAUAUGCAUUGGAAUUUAAUUGAGAAUAUUUGGAGGCUUGUUAGUGAUCAAAGCUUAGUUUGUGGCUGUUUUACUUGAGCUUGGAGGGGCUGUAAUUUUGUGUUGAGAGGCUGCCUUGGGUGAAUAAAGUGAUCGGCCAAGGUAUGGUUUAAGUUUCACACGUUUAAUAUUUACGGUGUUGUGAAAACUUAGGUUAGAGGAACCAUAGGAUAAGUUGAAUUGUUUGUUGUAUUUAAUGAUUAACCUUGUAAUGUUGUUGGAAUAGAUUUGUUGGUAGAUAUAUAUUGGAAUUAUGAGGUGUGGAAGUUAUUAAUGGUGUGCUCUUAUAUUUAUUUAUGAUGGAUUAGGAUUGGUGUUUGUUAAUGAGGAUGUAGAGUUGUGUUAUGGUGGUAUUGCAUAUGCUGUAACUAAUUAUGUAAUGAUCGGAAUUGCAUGAAACUAAGUUUGGGCUAAACUUGGGAAUAUAAGGAAUUAAACUGAAAAUUUUGGGACUUUUUUGUUAAAUAUACAAUUUAUGGAAAAUUGUUAAAGUUAGGUUGUUAAAUCUGUCCUGCAGCAGUAAAGGUCAAACAGGGCAGCAACUUGUUUGUCUUGUUGCGACUUCUACGAGUUGAGUUUUGGAGCGAAACAAAUUUUGUUAUAAAAUUUGAUUAAUUUUAUUUAUUGCUCUAAAACUUCAGAAUUUUAAUAGUUGAGGAUUGGGAGUUG